rnacentral:tRNA from 1 species
GAAGGUAUAGCUUAGUGGUAGAGUGCUAUGCUUAGCAUGCAUGAGGUCCUAGGUUGAAUCUCUAGUACCUCCC